UACGUAGGGCGCAAGCGUUUGUCCGGAUUUAUUGGGCGUAAAGAGCUCGUAGGCGGUUUGUCGCGUCUUCCGUGAAAACUGGGGGCUUAACUUCCAGCGUUGCGGUGGAUACGGGCUGACUGGAGUGCGGCAGGGGAGACUGGAAUUCCUGGUGUAGCGGUGAAAUGCGCAGAUAUCAGGAGGAACACCGGUGGCGAAGGCGGGUCUCUGGGCCGUUACUGACGCUGAGGAGCGAAAGCGUGGGGAGCGAACAGG
rnacentral:rRNA from 1 species